rnacentral:rRNA from 1 species
AUGACGUUGGAGUUGGUUGUCGGUGAAGAGCCCGUUCAGCUUGGUCUACACUGUGCAUGCAUCGUCGCCGUCCUGCACGACCGUCUGAAAGAGGUCCGGCGAGAUGGUGAGGAAGAACCACCGGAUGAUCGUGGUGUCGAUGGUGGACCAGUCAUGGAACUUGGGUACGAGGCUGGAGUCGACGGUGCCGUCCAUGUGAUCAACGAGAUGAUACUCCCGGAACACGAAGAAGUAUGUCUUCCACGUGUAGUAGGAGCAGUCCGCCUGAGAGAGACGAACCGGCACCCGCUCAUAGAUGUUCAGGUUACGGAUGUCGUUGACGUCGGGAGGGUUGGCAUCGGCGAACGGGUUGGAGUUGGUGGACGCAGAAGACGUGACAGACGACAUGGCGAGGGUGAGGUGGCUCGGCGGCAGCGGCGGCUUCGGGCGAUCCGGCGGCUUCGGCAGCGGGGGCGCCGCAUGCGGGGCGCGCGCCUCAAAGCCAGUGGCGGGCCAAGGACGGCGCGCGAGCGUCCUUGGAGAGGCGUCGAAGAGCCCGCGUCAUCGGUGGCGAGAGGAACAGCCAGGGUACCUGCUGAAACGGAAACACAUGCUCAUCAAAAUAAACGUGCCGGGUAG